AUGCACGCUGGCGGCGUGCCUAAUACCUGCACGUCGAGCGAACAGACGAGGAGCUUGCUCCUCUGACGUUAGCGGCGGACGGGUGAGUAACACGUGGAUAACCUACCUAUAAGACUGGGAUAACUUCGGGAAACCGGAGCUAAUACCGGAUAAUAUAUUGAACCGCAUGGUUCAAUAGUGAAAGACGGUUUUGCUGUCACUUAUAGAUGGAUCCGCGCCGCAUUAGCUAGUUGGUAAGGUAACGGCUUACCAAGGCAACGAUGCGUAGCCGACCUGAGAGGGUGAUCGGCCACACUGGAACUGAGACACGGUCCAGACUCCUACGGGAGGCAGCAGUAGGGAAUCUUCCGCAAUGGGCGAAAGCCUGACGGAGCAACGCCGCGUGAGUGAUGAAGGUCUUCGGAUCGUAAAACUCUGUUAUUAGGGAAGAACAAAUGUGUAAGUAACUAUGCACGUCUUGACGGUACCUAAUCAGAAAGCCACGGCUAACUACGUG
rnacentral:rRNA from 1 species